UAAAAAAAAUUAAAAAAAAUAAAGGUAAAAAUAAUUGAGUUUCCAGGAAAAUUUUAUUGACAGCCAAAUUCUUUUUCUUUUGUUCUUUUUUUUCUUUUUCUUGUUUCUUCAGGAUAAGUAAGCAGAAUUCAGUAGCCACCUCUGCAUUCCUAAGGUCAUACACAAACUGACAUUCCUAGCUCAGGGGAAUCAAUGUUACAUCCUCUUAUAAUAAAUGUUAAAGCAACCAAUAAACCCAAAAUUGUAUGCAAUUAUUCUGAAUACAAAUAACAACACAUCAUGGAGAGAUAAACCAUAUUAACUGCUCAUAAUCACUAACCUUAUUAAACAAAGAGGUGAACUG
rnacentral:misc_RNA from 1 species